AGAGUUUGAUCAUGGCUCAGAUUGAACGCUGGCGGCAGGCCUAACACAUGCAAGUCGAACGGUAACAGGAAGCAGCUUGGCUGCUUUGCUGACGAGUGGCGGACGGGUGAGUAAUGUCUGGGAAACUGCCUGAUGGAGGGGGAUAACUACUGGAAACGGUGGCUAAUACCGCAUAACGUCGCAAGACCAAAGAGGGGGACCUUCGGGCCUCUUGCCAUCAGAUGUGCCCAGAUGGGAUUAGCUUGUUGGUGAGGUAACGGCUCACCAAGGCGACGAUCCCUAGCUGGUCUGAGAGGAUGACCAGCCACACUGGAACUGAGACACGGUCCAGACUCCUACGGGAGGCAGCAGUGGGGAAUAUUGCACAAUGGGCGCAAGCCUGAUGCAGCCAUGCCGCGUGUAUGAAGAAGGCCUUCGGGUUGUAAAGUACUUUCAGCGGGGAGGAAGGUGUUGUGGUUAAUAACCGCAGCAAUUGACGUUACCCGCAGAAGAAGCACCGGCUAACUCCGUGCCAGCAGCCGCGGUAAUACGGAGGGUGCAAGCGUUAAUCGGAAUUACUGGGCGUAAAGCGCACGCAGGCGGUCUGUCAAGUCGGAUGUGAAAUCCCCGGGCUCAACCUGGGAACUGCAUUCGAAACUGGCAGGCUUGAGUCUUGUAGAGGGGGGUAGAAUUCCAGGUGUAGCGGUGAAAUGCGUAGAGAUCUGGAGGAAUACCGGUGGCGAAGGCGGCCCCCUGGACAAAGACUGACGCUCAGGUGCGAAAGCGUGGGGAGCAAACAGGAUUAGAUACCCUGGUAGUCCACGCCGUAAACGAUGUCUACUUGGAGGUUGUGCCCUUGAGGCGUGGCUUCCGGAGCUAACGCGUUAAGUAGACCGCCUGGGGAGUACGGCCGCAAGGUUAAAACUCAAAUGAAUUGACGGGGGCCCGCACAAGCGGUGGAGCAUGUGGUUUAAUUCGAUGCAACGCGAAGAACCUUACCUGGUCUUGACAUCCACAGAACUUUCCAGAGAUGGAUUGGUGCCUUCGGGAACUGUGAGACAGGUGCUGCAUGGCUGUCGUCAGCUCGUGUUGUGAAAUGUUGGGUUAAGUCCCGCAACGAGCGCAACCCUUAUCCUUUGUUGCCAGCGGUCCGGCCGGGAACUCAAAGGAGACUGCCAGUGAUAAACUGGAGGAAGGUGGGGAUGACGUCAAGUCAUCAUGGCCCUUACGACCAGGGCUACACACGUGCUACAAUGGCGCAUACAAAGAGAAGCGACCUCGCGAGAGUAAGCGGACCUCAUAAAGUGCGUCGUAGUCCGGAUUGGAGUCUGCAACUCGACUCCAUGAAGUCGGAAUCGCUAGUAAUCGUGGAUCAGAAUGCCACGGUGAAUACGUUCCCGGGCCUUGUACACACCGCCCGUCACACCAUGGGAGUGGGUUGCAAAAGAAGUAGGUAGCUUAACCUUCGGGGGGGCGCUUACCACUUUGUGAUUCAUGACUGGGGUGAAGUCGUAACAAGGUAACCGUAGGGGAACCUGCGGUUGGAUCACCU
rnacentral:rRNA from 1 species